rnacentral:tRNA from 1 species
GCGGAUGUGGUGGAAUUGGUAGACACGCUAGUCUUAGGAACUAGUGCCGCAAGGCGUGAAGGUUCGAGUCCUUUCAUCCGCA